CGAGCGUAUUAUAUUAGUUGUUGAUAUAAUGGAUGCUCAUAUUGCAAUGCAUACCCGUAUUCGAUCAUCAAUGUAAUAUUUUUAGUGUUUCUAAUUAUUGGAACACCUGUAUUUUUAAAAAAUUUGUGGUAUCUAAAUUUUCAGACACAAAAGAAAAUAAUUAUUUUUAAGUGUCCCAAAACCUGGAGUAAUUACAGUAAUAUAAUAUAAAUAUAGCGUAAAUCAGCGAGCACAUGGCAUCAAGUAAGCUGUUUUAAUUUGAGCAUAAAGAAUAAAUUUAUGAUCUGUUUGUGUUUAUUUAUCCCUGAAAAUAUUUAAUGUUGCUCAUUUUACCUACUUAAGUGCCGCCUUGAUUCGAGGCAGCAGCCUAUACAUGAAAAAUCUUGUUUCUAGUUGCAACUUGAUUAUUGCAACCACAACAACAAAGUGCACUUCUUUCACUAUAGUGGUCUCGGUUACCCAAUUAUUCCCCAAAUUAUGUAACAUGUGUAUUAUACCACUCAAGGUAACUGCGCCUUCUUUCCAGGCAGUCAACUGAUUCCUAUAUUCCUAUAUUUUGGAGAAUUUUCCCAUAUUUCUCAAAACCUCCUAUAUUUCCUAUAUUUUCCCAUAUUUUUGACUUAUUUCCUCAAUUUUGUUCUGAAAAUUUCCUCUUUUGUUAAAUACUUAUAAGAAGUGAUACUGCCUUUAGAUAUUUUAAAUUACAGUGUAAAAAGCUGUCCCUCCUCUUCCAAAGCAUCACCAUCUUGCAGGAGUGCUGUUGUAAACCAUUGCGAUUUCUAUAUGGACACCUUUGAUGAAGAAAAAUACAACCAUUUCAAAGGUGUCAACAUUGAUGACCACAGUGUGUUGCUGCAUCAGCAUAUCUGCUUUGGUGGUUCCAUAGGAUGUAGAAAAUACAGCAUCGGUAUAUAUGAAUAUAGUGAUAUAAUAUUUCGGUGCUAAGACCUACCUGACGAGAACCGACUGCUCGCACAACUGUGCACGUGUACCUUCUCGGCCCUCCCUACACCGUGGUCAAGGUUCAUAAUCACCAUAGAAACGACGAGGUAAGCAAUGACAAACAUUCUGCAAUAUCCAAUUUUUAAGCUUGCGUAAACGUAUGAUUC